UACAGAGGGUGCGAGCGUUAAUCGGAAUUACUGGGCGUAAAGGGCGCGUAGGCGGCCAUGUAUGUGUGAUGUGAAAGCCCCGGGCUUAACCUGGGAAGAGCAUCGCAAACUGUAUGGCUGGAGUAUAUGAGAGGGCGGCGGAAUUUCCGGUGUAGCGGUGAAAUGCGUAGAGAUCGGAAGGAACGUCGAUGGCGAAGGCAGCCGCCUGGCAUAAUACUGACGCUGAGGUGCGAAAGCGUGGGGAGCGAACAGGAUUAGAUACCCUGGUAGUCCACGCUGUAAACGAUGAGGACUAGAUGUUUCUUGGGGAACCAAGGAGUAUCGAAGCUAACGCGAUAAGUCCUCCGCCUGGGAAGUACGGCCGCAAGGUUGAA
rnacentral:rRNA from 1 species